rnacentral:rRNA from 1 species
UACGGAGGGUGCAAGCGUUAUCCGGAUUCACUGGGUUUAAAGGGAGCGUAGGUGGCUUUGUAAGUCAGUGGUGAAAUCUUAGAGCUUAACUCUAAAGCUGCCAUUGAUACUGCUUAGCUUGAAUCACGUCGAGGUGGAUGGAAUAUUACAUGUAGCGGUGAAAUGCUUAGAUAUGUAAUAGAACACCGAUUGCGAAGGCAGUUCACUAGGCGUGUAUUGACACUGAGGCUCGAAAGCGUGGGGAUCAAACAGG